GCAACAGAGUCAGGAAGGCCCCCUCCUAAGGGGCAGGCCACUGGUUCGAAUCCAGUCGAGUGCACCA
rnacentral:tRNA from 1 species